CCUACGGGAGGCAGCAGUGAGGAAUAUUGGACAAUGGGCGCAAGCCUGAUCCAGCCAUGCCGCGUGCAGGAUGACGGUCCUAUGGAUUGUAAACUGCUUUUGUACGAGAAGAAACACUGAUUCGUGAAUCAGCUUGACGGUAUCGUAAGAAUAAGGAUCGGCUAACUCCGUGCCAGCAGCCGCGGUAAUACGGAGGAUCCAAGCGUUAUCCGGAAUUAUUGGGUUUAAAGGGUCCGUAGGCGGUUUAGUAAGUCAGUGGUAAAAGCCCAUCGCUCAACGGUGGAACGGCCAUUGAUACUGCUGAACUUGAAUUAUUAGGAAGUAACCAGAAUAUGUAGUGUAGCGGUGAAAUGCUUAGAGAUUACAUGGAAUACCAAUUGCGAAGGCAGGUUACUACUAAGUGACUGACGCUGAUGGACGAAGGCGUGGGGAGCGAACAGGAUUAGAUACCCUAGUAGUC
rnacentral:rRNA from 1 species